rnacentral:rRNA from 1 species
UACAGAGGUCCCAAGCGUUGUUCGGAUUCACUGGGCGUAAAGGGUGCGUAGGUGGCUUGGUAAGUUUGAUGUGAAAUCUCCGGGCUUAACCCGGAAAUGGCAUUGAAUACUAUUGAGCUGGAGGUUUGGAGGGGGGGACUGGAAUUCUCGGUGUAGCAGUGAAAUGCGUAGAUAUCGAGAGGAACACCAGUGGCGAAGGCGAGUCCCCUGGACAAACACCUGACACUGAGGCACGAAAAGCUAGGGGGAGCAAAACAGGAUUAGAAAACCCCUA